GACUAGGGCACGUGCUUCCAUGCCUGGCCGGUUAUGCUGUGUGUUUUACCAUCUUUAUGAUCCUGAUGAGGUUUAGAGAUGAGGAAUCUGCUGAGGAGAAGAUCCAGUCAAUGGGGUGGGGCUGGAGAAAGAUGGUCAACAGACACAAAAAAAGCUUCUGUAUGAAGUGCUGGGGGUUGAGCCACCGAAUUGUACCCUCAGCCCUGGGAAAACAAUUUCUGAUGUGUUGUAUAACACAGUGGGCUAACUGUGGGUGCCAGUAAUUGGAUACUUCAAAAAAGCUAGCAGGUUGUAUAUACCCAACAAAAAGAAGUGGUAAAUCUGUAAGGAGAUAAGAUAAUAUACCAUUAUUCCAGUGUGGGGGUUUCAAUAAGAAUGGCCCCCAUAGGCUCAUAUAUUUGAAUGCUUAGGAAGUGGCACUGUUUAAGAAAGAUUAGGAGGUGUGACCUUGUUGGAAGAAGUGUGUCACUGUGGGUGGGCUUGGAAGUUUCAAAAGGCUCAUACCAGGUCCAGAGUGGCUGGCUCCCCCCACCCCCCACCUCUGGUUGUGGAUCAGGAUGUAUCACUCAGCUACUUCUCCAACACCACACCUGCCUGCCUCCCCCUGCCCUUCCCCCAUCCCCACCCCCAUGCUGUCUGCCAUGGUGAUAAUGGCCUAGGCCUCUGAAACUGUAAGGAAGUCCCCAAUUAAAUGCUUUCUUUUAUAA
rnacentral:lncRNA from 1 species